rnacentral:rRNA from 1 species
AUUGAACGCUGGCGGUAUGCUUAACACAUGCAAGUCGAACGCUGAUAAGGUGCUUGCACCUUUGAUGAGUGGCGGACGGGUGAGUAAUGCAUAGGAAUCUGCCUAUUAGUGGGGGACAACGUGGGGAAACUCACGCUAAUACCGCAUACGAUCUACGGAUGAAAGCCGGGGACCUUCGGGCCUGACGCUAAUAGAUGAGCCUAUGUCGGAUUAGCUAGUUGGUGGGGUAAAGGCCUACCAAGGCGACGAUCCGUAGCUGGUCUGAGAGGAUGAUCAGCCACACUGGGACUGAGACACGGCCCAGACUCCUACGGGAGGCAGCAGUGGGGAAUAUUGGACAAUGGGCGAAAGCCUGAUCAAGCAAUACCGCGUGUGUGAAGAAGGCCUGAGGGUUGUAAAGCACUUUCAAUGGGAGGGAAUACCUGCCGGUUAAUACCCGGCAGACUGACAUUACCCAUACAAGAAGCACCGGCUAACUCCGUGCCAGCCGCCGCGGUAAGAC